AUCGGUUACGGUGACAUGGUCCCUAAAACGUACAUGGGCAUGGUGGUGGGUUCUCUCUGCGCCAUUACUGGUGUGCUCACCAUUGCCCUACCCGUGCCCAUUAUUGUGGGGAAC
rfam:Lingula anatina scaffold132, whole genome shotgun sequence.